UGGUGGAGUGAUUUGUCUGGUUAAUUCCGAUAACGAACGAGACCUUAACCUGCUAAAUAGCCAGGCCGGCUUUUGCUGGUCGCCGGCUUCUUAGAGGGACUGUCAGCGUUUAGCUGACGGAAGUUUGAGGCAAUAACA
rnacentral:rRNA from 1 species